GCUAAAUGCAUGUCUACGUGAGGCCCCUCUGGCCGCUGUCCACUCGCAAAGGCCAGGAGCAACUGCAAAAUCAAAGACAAAGAACAAGCUCGUGAAAACUCGUUUGAUCGAUCGAGGGAGCGAUGAUACUUGGUUUGAUAUGCCUGGCGUAUGUAGUAGAGCUGCGAGGGAGUUCUCGAGCAGAUGAUCUCGAUCAGCGUCUUAUCUUUGGUACCCAGUCCUUUCAUCGCAUCUCUGAUUAACACCGCGUCCCUUUCAGCUGGCUC